rnacentral:rRNA from 1 species
GAUGAACGCUGGCGGCGUGCUUAACACAUGCAAGUCGAGCGAAGCACUCUGCUUUGAUUCUUUCGGGAUGAAGAGCAUUGUGACUGAGCGGCGGACGGGUGAGUAACGCGUGGGUAACCUGCCUCAUACAGGGGGAUAACAGUUAGAAAUGGCUGCUAAUACCGCAUAAGACCACAGCACCGCAUGGUGCAGGGGUAAAAACUCCGGUGGUAUGAGAUGGACCCGCGUCUGAUUAGCUAGUUGGUGGGGUAACGGCCUACCAAGGCGACGAUCAGUAGCCGACCUGAGAGGGUGACCGGCCACAUUGGGACUGAGACACGGCCCAAACUCCUACGGGAGCAGCAGUGGGGAAUAUUGCACAAUGGGGGAAACCCUGAUGCAGCGACGCCGCGUGAGCGAAGAAGUAUUUCGGUAUGUAAAGCUCUAUCAGCAGGG